rnacentral:rRNA from 1 species
GCUACAGGCUUAACACAUGCAAGUCGAGGGGCAGCAUGGUCUUAGCUCGCUAAGGCUGAUGGCGACCGGCGCACGGGUGAGUAACACGUAUCCAACCUGCCGUCUACUCUUGGCCAGCCUUCUGAAAGGAAGAUUAAUCCAGGAUGGCAUCAUGAGUUCACAUGUCCGCAUGAUUAAAGGUAUUUUCCGGUAGACGAUGGGGAUGCGUUCCAUUAGAUAGUAGGCGGGGUAACGGCCCACCUAGUCAACGAUGGAUAGGGGUUCUGAGAGGAAGGUCCCCCACAUUGGAACUGAGACACGGUCCAAACUCCUACGGGAGGCAGCAGUGAGGAAUAUUGGUCAAUGGGCGAUGGCCUGAACCAGCCAAGUAGCGUGAAGGAUGACUGCCCUAUGGGUUGUAAACUUCUUUUAUAAAGGAAUAAAGUCGGGUAUGCAUACCCGUUUGCAUGUACUUUAUGAAUAAGGAUCGGCUAACUCCGUGCCAGCAGCCGCGGUAAUACGGAGGAUCCGAGCGUUAUCCGGAUUUAUUGGGUUUAAAGGGAGCGUAGAUGGAUGUUUAAGUCAGUUGUGAAAGUUUGCGGCUCAACCGUAAAAUUGCAGUUGAUACUGGAUGUCUUGAGUGCAGUUGAGGCAGGCGGAAUUCGUGGUGUAGCGGUGAAAUGCUUAGAUAUCACGAAGAACUCCGAUUGCGAAGGCAGCCUGCUAAGCUGCAACUGACAUUGAGGCUCG